rnacentral:misc_RNA from 1 species
AACGCACCUUGCGCUCCUUGGUAUUCCGAGGAGCAUGCCUGUUUGAGUGUCAUGAAAUUCUCAGCCUCUCUAGUUUUUUUAAAGACUAGUUAGGCUUGGAUUUGGAGGUUGCUGGCUCGUUCAGCUCUUCUUAAAUAUAUUAGCGAAGAUCUUUGCUGCUCAUCAUUGGUAUGAUAAUUAUCUAUAUCAUUGAUAAACAGUGUCCUUCACGGGAGAGCUCUUGCUUCUAAUCGUCUUUCUAAGACAAUUUGACAACUUUUGACCUCAAAUCAGGUAGGACUACCCGCUGAACUUAA